CCUACGUGGGGCAGCAGUGAGGAAUAUUGGUCAAUGGGCGCGAGCCUGAACCAGCCAAGUCGCGUGAGGGAAGACGGUCCUAUGGAUUGUAAACUUCUUUUGUCGGGGAGCAAAAGACUCCACGCGUGGCGUUCCGAGUGUACCCGAAGAAAAAGCAUCGGCUAACUCCGUGCCAGCAGCCGCGGUAAUACGGAGGAUGCGAGCGUUAUCCGGAUUUAUUGGGUUUAAAGGGUGCGCAGGCGGAAUAUAAAGUCAGCGGUAAAAUUGAGAGGCUCAACCUCUUCGAGCCGUUGAAACUGGUUUUCUUGAGUGAGCGAGAAGUAUGCGGAAUGCGUGGUGUAGCGGUGAAAUGCAUAGAUAUCACGAAGAACUCCGAUUGCGAAGGCAGCAUACCGGCGCUCAACUGACGCUCAUGCACGAAAGUGUGGGUAUCGAACAGGAUUAGAUACCCGGGUAGUC
rnacentral:rRNA from 1 species